GACGAGGGAUCCUAGCGUUGUUCGGAAUCAUUGGGCGUAAAGAGCAUGUAGGCGGCCUUGUAAGUCAGUUGUGAAAGCCCCGGGCUCAACCCGGGAAGUGCAAUUGAUACUGCUUGGCUUGAAUGUGGAAGAGGGUAGUAGAAUUCCAGGUGUAGCGGUGAAAUGCGUAGAUAUCUGGAGGAAUACCGGUGGCGAAGGCGGCAUCCUGGACCGAGAUUGACACUAAAGCGCGAAAGCCAGGGGAGCAAACGGG
rnacentral:rRNA from 1 species